rnacentral:rRNA from 1 species
UGACUCACGCAGGAAUCUUACCGGGUCCGGACACACUGAGGAUUGACAGAUAACAAUAUGAUAGCUCUUUCAUAAUUAUGUGAUAGGUGGUGCAUGGCCGUUCUUAGUUCGUGGAGUGAUCUGUCUGCUUAAUUGCGUUGGUAUAUAUAAUGCAUGUUAAUUGCAUUUUUACCAUGCAACGAACGUGACCGCAACCUCUUGUUGCACUAUAGCUUCUCAUGGUGCAAAACUAGAGGGACCGCUGUAUUUAUUUCUUUUAGCCAGAGGAAGGAUGCGGCAAUAACAGGUCUGUGAUGC